rnacentral:lncRNA from 1 species
GUAUUAUUAUUAUCAUUACAGUGUAUUGCUAUUACCACCUAUGAGCCAUUAUAGUAUUGUUAUUAUCAUCAACAAAUAUGCACUCUUCAUCAGGAAUCUGAGUUACAUACAAAUCCAACCUGAAAACCUUCUCAGAAAUGUAUCUCCUCCAUAACCCCGGGGACCGCCUGUACAUACGCAUGAAUAUUUGAAGAUUAACUAGGUCAUUACUUGUAGAGUAGUUGUAGCUAUUUGAUGCAAAAAGUAAAUUAUACAUCAUGUCUAACUAUGACCAUUUUUCCCUAUAGCCCAAGUCAAGAGGAAUUGACCAGAGGAAAUAGUCAUAGAGCCAGCAGAGAAAUCAUAUCAGAACAACUCACCGGAGUUGAAAAUGGUCAAGGAGACAGCACUGAUUUGAACAACUCAGAUAGGUAAGUCAGUUUGAAGUAUGGAAGUAGGGAGCCUUUGAUGGAUCUCUUUGGGAAAACAGGAUUUGUGCUAAGGCAAGAAAGAAAAAGGAAAACUAUAGAAAGAUAUAAAUAUGUAUGGGAGAGAGAGCACACAGUAUUUACUCCAAUGAAAUGGGCAGACAAAUACUAUGUUGGAAAAAAAAUUACAUCUGUUCAGAAGUAAAUGUUCUUCUAGGUUGAAAAUGUGAAAAAUAUCCAUAGAAGAGAGUAAUUUUAUUAAAAUUUCUUUCUUAACAAAGGAAUCUAGAAUCCUACUUACCCUUAAAUCAUUGUCCUUUCUCAUUUUUCCUGGAUACUAUCCAGUUCCUGGUUUUGUAGAUCUUGCUAUGAGCGCAUGGGACCGAUAGGAAAGGUGAACAUGUUUUGCUAACUAAAAGCCUCUUUGUGCUCACUGGGAUUUUAUUAAUUUUGAUUUGUUUCUCAGUAAUCUCACUUGGAGUACUUCCUAUUGCA